UUAACAUAUGUUGAUGGAAAAAAAAUUAAUAAAAAAGAUUGUUAAAAAAAAUAAAACAAGUUCUGUUCAUUCUUGUUAAAGAGUGUUAAUGUUAUUUUUUAGUAUUACUAUUCCAAAUUUUAUCAAUGGAACUUUGGGGAAGUUAUGAAAUACUAAUUAUGUUUAAAAGUGUCUUUCAUGUAUGCAUUAUUUUUUAUAAACAUAUUCCUAUCAUAGCUGUCCUAUAUUCUUUACAUUGCAAAUUAUUUUUCCCUUCCCAUUAACAUUUCAAAAGAAGUUAAAUAAACAUUAAAUACAGAUCACCACCUCUGUAACAAAUCAGAAAAUCAGAUUUAAAUAAGACUGACUACAUCGAAGAUUAUUGUAAUCUUCCCAUCGAUUCCCAUUAGUUUACAAAAUUUAUAAAAAAAAUCCUUAAAACAAAAUAAUUAUGCUGCUCUUUUUAUUGAAUUCAUCACUUUAGUAUUGCAUAAAUGCCACUUAGUUAAUACAGUAAUUUAAAUUACCCAUGAAGUUACCUUCAUUAAUAUGCAGAUGAAUUAAAUAUUAUUGUACACAUCCUUUGCUUCUUUAUAUUUUCAACUUUAAUGAAAUUAAAAAUUCUUCACCAAUCUAGAUGAAAAUACAUUCAAAUAUUUGAGUGGCAAUCAGCCAUAUUCCCAUGCAUAAUUGAAAAUGCUAGUUAUAAUUUCUAAUGCCAGAUAUCGCUUAGGAGCAUGGAGCCUAGAAUACUGCAUGUUCUAACCCCAUUUUUUCUGACCUUUUAGAUAUGUGUAAGAUGCUUUGCUUUGCUGUCAAAUGUUCAUUGUGUGAAAACAUGGGAGUCUUCUUAGAUACGAUAUUCAGCCUGGAGAACUCCCUAUCAAAGGAUAUCAAACUAGUUCCUAACAUGACAUCUUUCUAUUUACAUGCAAAACAAUUUUUACUUAGGUAGGUCUUGAUAUAAGUAGAUAUGUUUUUCAUCGAUUUGCACUAUGAAAUUUUAAAUUCUAAAAGCUCCCUAUGUGAUGGAAAUUAAUUUAUUAAAAAAGAGAGUCUCUUAAGAACAAAUAUUAAAUUUGUUUACAUAAAAAAUGGACUGUUGUAUGAAAGUGCUCACCUUAACUUUGCCAUAAUGAAAGUAUUUAAUAUCAGUAUUUCUGUCAGAUACAUUGUUUUUAUUUACAGUUCUUAUGUACCUUGGUCUGAGCUGGCUUAGGUUAGGAGACUCUGGACAAUAUACCCUUUGUGGAUUCCCUUGUAUAUGUGGCAAUGGUUCCACUCAUCCUUUCAAUUUUUCCUAGUACCUAAGAACAACAUUUGAUUUGUCUAUAAUUGCUGAGAAUAUUAAGGGGACUACAUUGUCAAUGGAAUUUGUUAGAAGUCUGAACUUCAAUUCAUUUCUUUUGGAGAAUAAUAAAUUUAGGUGGCAGUGGCACGUUAGCUUGUUUUCCUGAUCUGGAGAAUAACGGAGGCUAGGACUAGAAUUAAGAUUAUAAUAGUAAAGGCAGAAAUAAAGAAUAAUGAUAGAUAUCAGGCCAUAAAUUCUGCAUUUCUGAUUAAACAUGCAUAGUUUUGACUUAUUUGGCAGGCUGAGUAUUCAAAAUGAAUUCACGAAAACAUUUGGAUUUACAAGAUAACAAAACAAUAUUGUACAACCAAACAAAACAAAGCAAACGUAAUGCAUAAAUGUCAGAUUUACUUUGGGUUCAUUACACACAGAGCUACAGGGCCUCAAUUUAAAACAGGAUAUGGGCUGAGUUUGUUUUCAAAAUUAAGAGUAAUUUUUUUUAAAGUUUAAUUAACAUUAACUCCAGUUUCCAUAUUUUCCUCAGCUUAUAGAGAAAGAAUUAUAGAAAAAUAGGGGAAUUUAGGGGGGAAAGUGACAUUCUAAGUGUAAUAGAAAAUAAAUUACCGACUUUCUUGGAAGGUCUGCCCUUGUACAAACAAGGUUCCUUUUUACAGAUGAACAGGGCUAGAUUUAGACCGGCAUCCGACUCCAGUGUAGCGUUGCCAGGCUGAGAGGGCACUGAACUUGGAAAACACCUGUUGUGGGAUGUGCAUGCAACCAUCAAUUCAACAGCUGAAACAAAUGGUACAUGCAGUUUAUCUUUAUUUGUAAAUCUGACAGCACCUGUCUGACUGGAUAACAGUGCUUUCAAUGUCCGUCCUUCCUUCCUUUCUUUCUUUCUUUCUUUCUUUCUUUCUUUCUUUCUUUCUUUCUUUCUUUCUUUCUUUCUUUCUUUCUUUCCUUCCUUGAAAAAUAUGAUUUGUGCGAAAACAUACAGGAUUGGUGACAAUGCAAAAAUCCUAUGAGAGUGAAUCAGAUUCUGGCAAGCUAUUUAUUGUCAUCUAUGAUGGAGCCAUAUCUAACAGGCCAAUUGUGAAUCAGAGUAUUAAAAGGCUACAAAAACAAUAAGUAAAAUUUAAUAAAUAUUGAAGACGCCAAGGCACUUUCCUGGAACUUUAUAUAGCUUAUAUAUGCAUUUUUUCAACUGGUGUUCUCCAAUAAGUCAGGUCUGUAAAAUCCAUAGUCCCAGCUACUGUAUCAUGACCUAGAGUAAGUUAAUCUAAAGAACUUAUUUAUUUUUGUGUCUAAUGUUGACUGCUGGCAACUGCCAGUACUGCCUGUAGUUUUCUUGGGAAGGUUUUUCAGAAGUGGUUUACCAUUGUCUUGUAAGGUCCCAGUCCCUUAUGUGAACUUGAGAUAUUAUAUCAAUCUAAUCGUAUAACCCAAGUGGAGACUUCUUGAUCAAGCAGCACUUUAUUUGAUCAAAUUAAGCAGCUGGGUGGCCAACAAUCUGGAACGCUGGCAGAGUUACAUCCAGAAGUGCCACACCUUAGUAGCAUUGCUUUAUAAACUUUGUUAAUCAGACAACAGAGCCAUUACAUCAUAAGGAAGACAUCAUUCAUUCCUGUACACUCCCUUAUUCCCUCCUUCAGUACAUCCCAUCCAUGUAUAUGGUUCUCAUGCCUGCAUGAGAUUUCCUUGGUGCAAAAGCCGAUUAUAAAAUGCAAGAAAGCAACAGUUAGACUAAACAAUUUCCCUUUGUUCCAGAACCUUUCAGUCUUCUUCCUGGAACUGAGAGGGUGUGACUGGCCCAAGGUCACCCAAUUGAAUUUGUGCCUGAAGGAAGAUUAGAACUCAUGGUCUCCCAGUUUCUAAUCUGAUGCCUUAACAACUACACCAAAUUAGCUCUCUUCUCAGUGGUACUUAUGGUUAAACACAUUUGGAUAUGUAAAGCCAAUCAGUGUAAGUCUGCCAUUAAUAUUUUGUCAUAAUCUAGACUAGCAUUAUUUUUCUUCCAUUCAUUCAUGUCUGAUUCUCAGAAAUUGCCUGGAGAAGUCCCUGCAGUUUUUUUUGGCAAGGUUUUUCACAAGUGGUUUGCCAUUGUCUCCUUCCUAGGGCUGAGAGAACAUGACUGACCUGAGGCCAGACAGCUCUCUUUCUAAGGGUCUGCAACCAAGCUAUUAUUUUCUUACUAUAUUAGUAACUCUGAUCUUCAUUAUUAUCAGCUUAUUGACUCCUUGCUAAAAUCUUGACCUUACUGGGCUUUAGACAUGUUUUUAAUGAAGAUCAUUUAAUGGAAAAUGGUGUUCUUAAUAAAACAGAAUGAUUAUAUGUAUAUAUAGAAUAUUGAGUUUUUUAAAAAAAUAAUCUUCACUACCUCAAGGGCACUAGUAAUAAAUCAUGGGAGAAAUUGCAUGACAAUCUUCUUCUUUAUGUUUAUUUAGAUUUUAUUUAUGUAUUUAUUUAUAUUUAUAAAAUAUUUGUAACAUGUAUUGGCCACCCAUCUUACCUCAAGGUAACUCUGGGUGGAGUUUAUUUGAUUCUAAAUUGGAUUUCCUACUACUGAAAAUAUGACAUAUAAGACAAACAAGGUUAAUUAACUUCACAAUUUCAUCAACAAAAGCCACAUUGUUUACUAAUAAUUAAUGGCAUAUUAUAUUUAAUAUGAAAAGGAAGCAAUAUAGAAAUGUAUUGCUCCUAAAUUAAAUAUUCAUCUUUCCUAGUCUGUUAAAUGAUUUGUUACUAUAUAUUUAGAAAUACUUGUGUUAAAAUUGGCAGCUUUUAUUUUCUGCUUUCUAGUACAGUAUUCUUUGGCUUGGAUAUAAUCUUUUCUUGUUAAACUUUCUAAAAAGAAGCAGGAGAGAAUAAACUCUCUGAUUUGGAUCCUAACUUCAUUGUGAUUUGUCUGUCAGUUCACUGGAUUCAAAAUCUUCCAUCACAAUUAACACCAGAUUUCCUUCUCCUUGAAUGCUCACAAGGUUCUCCAGUGAUGGCUUUUCAGUGUGAAGACCUGGAACAAGAGGAUGAAUUCAAUAGCAAUCCAAAUUGGUGAAUGAAGACUAUUCUUAGGCUAUUGUGCUGUUGUGUAGAUCAAAGUUCCUGAACCUGGGGCCUUCCAGUUGCAUCCUUAGAACUGCUGGGACUUAUGUUGAAAAACACCUGAAGGCCACCAAACUGGAAAAGAAAAGUUUAUGCUAGCUUAUGUCAUCAUGAGGUUUAUAGAGAAAAAAGUCCAGAUGGAAUAGCUGCACAAUAUUUUGUAACGCUAGGAGCUUUCAUGUUGGUAUAUUUCAUGCUACCUAUUUCAAUAUUCACAUCCUGUCUGACCAUAAUGCUGAAUUUUAAUGGCAUGAUUGCUGCAAAUAAGUAACAUCAUUCCCACUAAAUUAAGACAGAAAAUGCUGAAACUGGGUAAAAUACUAAAAUGGAAUUAAAAAGCAAACAAACUCCAAAUCUUGAAAGACAUUAAAGAACCAUGGUCUCACUUAUGCAUUGAAAUGACUCUACUCACUUUGCCAUCUGUAUUCAAUCCUUUUUCAAAGAAAUAUGAGACACACCAUGUGAAAAACUGUAUGAUAAAUUUAAUCCAUAUUAGUGAUAAAGAGCUCCCCUCCUCAACUUCACACCUGAUUGAUUACAAGAGAGAUACAUUAUAUACCAUUCAGUCUCAGAUCAAUGGCCAAUAUACAACCUCAGCAGCUGACUAUCAGCUAUGUUGGGGCUGAAUGAAGUGCAGAAGCAUUAUUAGUGUUUUAUUUCAAUAGUCCAUGCAGUUGGGAUCAAAAUCAGCAAGAGGACAGAUGUAGUGCCGUGAUGCAGCCCUAUUUCUGAUGUUCAUGGGACAACAUUGUUUGUACAUUGAAAAGGGUAGAGCUUGUAUCAGAGCUUUUAUCAAUUGUGUUCCAUCUGCCAAGCAGCAGAAGCUGAGGGAUUUCUUAUUGAUGGUAGAUUAUUGGGUGAGUGAAUGAAUGAAACAUUAAUUGCCAUUAAUGUUAAGUAUUAGAUAUUUCUACUCUACAGAGCUUUAGGAUAUAAACACACGUAUGUGAAUAUGUGUGCAUAUGUCUGAAAUUUACUAUUUAUGCUUGCAUAUUACUUACUCCAUAGAUUAUAGGCAAUUAUAAAUCUAAAAUUAUCAAAUUAUUCAAAUUGAUAUAAAGGUAUUUAUAAGAGAGGAAAGAAGGUUUUCAAAACAUGGCAGAUAAGGACUAGAUAACACUUCAGCUUUAUCUCUUAAGAGAGGCAUCAGGCCAUUGAUUAUGAAAUCUUGGAGAA